CCACCUCAUCACAAAUACAAAUUCUGCAACAAAAAAUUGUCAAUUUCCAAUAGAGUUCACUCUCUAAUCUCUUUACUCACCAUUGAUGAGAAAAUUUUACAUCUCUCUGAUAAUACAACUUCAAUUCCAAGACUUGGUUUACCAGCAUAUGAAUGGUGGUCAGAAUCUCUUCAUGGUAUUGGGAUUAAUGGACCUGGGAUCAAUUUCAAUGGUUCUAUUAAAA
rnacentral:misc_RNA from 1 species